rnacentral:rRNA from 1 species
GACGUAGGGCGCGAGCGUUGUCCGGAUUUAUUGGGCGUAAAGAGCUCGUAGGCGGCUCGUUGCGUCGGCUGUGAAAACCCGCAGCUCAACUGUGGGCUUGCAGCUGAUACGGGCGGGCUGGGAUUCGGUAGGGGAGACUGGAAUUCCUGGUGUAGCGGUGAAAUGCGCAGAUAUCAGGAGGAACACCCGGUGGCGAAGGCGGGUCUCUGGGCCGAUAUCGACGCUGAGGAGCGAAAGCGUGGGGAGCAAACAGG